rnacentral:rRNA from 1 species
CUCCUUUUGACAUAUUUAAGGUACCGUCUGCUCAAUGCAAUUUGUAAAUAGCCGCAGUAUUCUGACUGUGCUAAGGUAGCAUAAUCAUUAGUCUUUUAAUUGGGGGCUGGUAUGAAUGACGAGACGAGAAAAUGACUGUCUCUAUAAUAAACUUUGAAUUUCAUUUCUGAGUGAAAAAGCUCAGAUAAUUUUGAAGGACGAUCAGACCCUUUGGAGCUUUUUUGUUGGGGCGACAGGGAGUAAAAUAUAACACUCUUUUUUUAAAACAAUCCUAAUUGGAAAAUUGAUCCUUAGAGUGAGAUUACAAGACUAAGUUACCCUAGGGAUAACAGCGUAAUCUUUUUGGAGAGUUCAAAUCGAUAAAAAGGUUUGCGACCUCGAUGUUGGAUUAAGAGAUUGGCAAGGUGCAGAAGUUUUGCUGGAAAGUCUGUUCGACUUUUAAUCUCUUACA